rnacentral:rRNA from 1 species
AACGAACGCUGGCGGCAUGCCUAACACAUGCCAGUCGAACGAGACCUUCGGGUUUAGUGCCGCACGGGUGCGUAACGCGGGGGAACCUGCCCAUAGAUUUGCAUUAACGCCCCGGAAGGGGUCCUAAUACCGGAUAAAGUAUUCGGACCAAAGAUUGAUCGCCUUUGGAGGGGCUCGCGUUGGAUUAGUUGGUUGGGAGGGUAAAUGGCUACAACGGCGAGGAUCCAUAGCUGGUCUGAGAGGCUAGUCACCCACACUGGUACGGUGACACGGCCCAGACUACUAGAGGAGGCAGCAGUGGGGAAUACUGGACAGUGGGCGAUAGCAUGAUCCAGCAAUGCCGCGUAAGUGAUGAAGGCCUUAGGGUUGUAAAGCUCUUUUACCCGGUAUGAUAAUGACAGUACCGUGAGAAUAAGCACCGGCUAACUCCGUG